rnacentral:rRNA from 1 species
GACGUAGGGGGCCAGCGUUGUUCGGAAUUACUGGGUGUAAAGGGUUCGUAGGCGGUGCGGCAAGUUGGGAGUGAAAUCUCUGGGCUUAACCCAGAGGCUGCUUCCAAAACUGCUGUGCUUGAGUGUGGGAGAGGCGCGUGGAAUUGCAGGUGUAGCGGUGAAAUGCGUAGAUAUCUGCAAGAACACCCGUGGCGAAAGCGGCGCGCUGGACCACUACUGACGCUGAGGAACGAAAGCUAGGGGAGCAAACAGG